rnacentral:lncRNA from 1 species
AUCACUGGGUCAGAAGGUUGCGAAUCGCCUCAAUGUCAAACCAAGCAUGUGACAAGGAUGCAGAUGCUGAGCCAUAUGCUACAUGUUUGUGCAGAGUAUGAUGUGUCUAUGCCAAAUCAGAGUUCAGUUCAUCAGAACAAGGCUCCUUGAGUGUAGUAACUAUCAAUAAGGUGACUAUCUAGUUAUCAGAAAAGAAAAACCAAUGCAACUAUUUGAGCACCAUGCUGUAAUUAUAGAUCUAAAUGGCAUCUAAAUGGCACCAUGUUUGUCUGAUUAAUAGUUGGACUUGAUUGGGUGAGAUUCUGCAUUAAUUUCCUUCAGGAAAUCCGAAUAUUAUCAUUCUAAUGAUGGAUGAUUGUAGGAGAGCUAUAAGUAUGCUUGCUGGAUGUGUAUGUACUUGGGCUCUUGAACUUUUGGUACAAAAGGUUCAGCCUCAACCCCCUGACAUCAUUUACAAGUACGGAUUUACAUAAUACAUGCAGAGGCACUCACAAUCUACGAACCCACACAGAUCUCUGUCGAACCUUCAACAUUAGUUUCUCGUGAUCAAUGUGAGUUCAGACACCUUAAGGCUUAAUUUCAUAGUUUUGUCUCAAAUUAGUUUUGUAAUAAAUGCAGUGCAUGGAAUUGAAGCCCCGGGACAAGGGCAAAGUCGAAACAGAAUCGAACAGUUCAGUUGGUAUCCAGUCCCAUUUUCUUGGAUAUGCAAAUCUUUCUGGAAUCAAAAUGCUCGCUACCAUUCCUC